AUCUCUUCCACUCCUUUGCUUCUCAAGUGAGAGGUGCUUUUCAUAAUUUGGAUCUUGUUGCAUUUGUUUGCAUUUUAUAUAAACAGAUUAAAAAUGCUUGCUCUUUACAAAACUUCAAAUAUAUAUAUUCAACCCAUGGGGGUUAUUGUGAACCAUCAAAGGUAAAGUUGGCACCUUGCCUCUAAAUUAACUUUUCUUCAUGCAAAUCCACCAUCAGACCACCCACCGUG
rnacentral:lncRNA from 1 species